rnacentral:rRNA from 1 species
AGUGAACGCUGGCGGUAUGCCUAACACAUGCAAGUCGAACGGCAGCACAGUAAGAUCUUUCUCUUACGGGUGGCGAGUGGCGGACGGGUGAGGAAUACAUCGGAAUCUACUUUUUCGUGGGGGAUAACGGAGGGCAACUUACACUAAUACAUCAUACGACCUACGGGUGAAAGCAAUGGAGCAUCGGACCUUGCCCGUUUGAAUGAGACGAUGCCGGAUUAGCUAGUUGGCGGGGUAAAGGCCCACCAAGGCAACGAUCCGUAGCUGGGCUGAGAGGAUGAUCAGCCACACUGGAACUGAGACACGGUCCAGACUCCUACGGGAGGCAGCAGUGGGGAAUAUUCGACAAUGGGCGAAAGCCUGAUCCAGCCACACCGCGUGAGUGAUGAAGGCCUUCGGAUCGUAAAGCCCUGUUGUUGGGAAAGAAAAAAAGUAGAAGAAACUACGGCCGUUCUGACGGUACCCAAAGAAUAAGCACCGGCUAACUUCGUG